GUUUAUGUAAUUUAUUAUUAAAAUACCGGUCUUGUAAAUCGGAAAAAGAAUAUAGUUCUCAUAAACU
rnacentral:tRNA from 1 species